UACGGAGGAUGCAAGCGUUAUCCGGAAUGAUUGGGCGUAAAGCGUCCGCAGGUGGCAAUGUAAGUCUGCUGUCAAAGCGUCUGGCUCAACCAGAUAAAGGCAGUGGAAACUACAUAGCUAGAGUAAGGUAGGGGUAGAGGGAAUUCCUGGUGUAGCGGUGAAAUGCGUAGAUAUCAAGAGGAACACCUGAGGUGAAGACGGGUUGCUGGGCUGACACUGACGCUGAGGCGCGAAAGCUAGGGUAGCAAACGGG
rnacentral:rRNA from 1 species